rnacentral:rRNA from 1 species
GACGAAGGAUGCAAGCGUUAUCCGGAUUCAUUGGGUUUAAAGGGAGCGUAGGCGGCCCUAUAAGUCAGUGGUGAAAUCUCGAGGCUCAACCUCGAAAUUGCCAUUGAUACUGUAGGGCUUGAGUACAGUUGCCGUUGGCGGAAUAUGACAUGUAGUGGUGAAAUACAUAGAGAUGUCAUAGAACACCGAUUGCGAAGGCAGCUAACGAAGCUGUAACUGACGCUGAGGCUCGAAAGUGCGGGGAUCAAACAGG